rnacentral:sRNA from 1 species
UUCUUCCGCCUGCUGCGGGCAGAUCCAGUGGAUGUGGGUGUCGAUCCCGCCGGCGGUGACGAUCUUCCCCUCGGCGGCAAUCACUUCCGUUGCCGCGCCAAUCGGGAUCGUCACGCCGGGCUGAAUGUCCGGGUUCCCGGCUUUGCCGACGGCGAAGAUCCGCCCGUCCUUGACGCCGAUGUCGGCCUUCACGAUCCCCCAGUGAUCGACGAUCAGCGCGUUGGUGAGAACCAGAUCUACGCAGCCGUCAGCGGUCAUCUGCCCCUGGCCCAUGCCGUCGCGGAU